UUCAGGAAUGCCAUAAGUGCCCAGACAAUUACAAGUUCGAUUACAACAAAAAUCUGAAACAGAAACUAGGAUUAAUCAACACCACUCGACUUGAUUCAACUCCGAGAAAUCAAUUGAACAGCCAGAGAAAUACCUGAAAUGGAGUUCAAUAGGCAGCUGUUAGCAUAGGUGAUAAGAAAUGGCUAUUGUUAUAUUAAACUGGAUUGCUUCAGAAUUUUAUAGAGAAAAGAAGAAUUUAGGAGAGAAGAAAGGUUCAAAUUUAGAGGAGAUAGGAAGUAUAGAGAGAGAAAGAGCACGAAAUAGAGAGAGGAGACGUACCAAAUUCGUUGAAACCCCUCCUGCACUGAGAUAGUGUCAUACAUUCUAAUGGGCUUGAUAUCAGCCUUUGGUUGAAAUUAAUCUGAUCUGUCCACGUCGCUAACAACUUUUAAACUCUUCUUUUACUAGUUUACUCUCAGCACAUUACAUGCCACCCUCCUUCAGUUCAUUCUUUCCCUCAAGGAUGAUGUUGAGAUUGUUGCAAGAACUCUGGCAAUU
rnacentral:lncRNA from 1 species